ensembl:misc_RNA Metazoa_SRP Metazoan signal recognition particle RNA
GCUGGGUGUGGUGGUGUACGCCUGUGGUCCUAGCUACUGGGGAGGCAGAGGUGGCAGGAUUGCUUGAGCCCAGGAAUUCGAGGGUAUAAUGAGCUAUGAUCACAUCACUGUAAUCCAGCCUGGGCAACAGAGCAAGAUGCUGCCUCCA